GAAGCCGGGGGCUCGGAUCAGAGUGCCAAGUGGGCCAAUUUUGGUAAGCAGAACUGGCGCUGUGGGAUGAACCAAACGUCGAGUUAAGGCGCCUAAAUCGACGCUCAUGUGAAACCAUGAAAGGCGUUGGUUGCUUAAGACAGCAGGACGGUGGCCAUGGAAGUCGGAAUCCGCUAAGGAGUGUGUAACAACUCACCUGCCGAAGCAACUAGCCCUGAAAAUGGAUGGCGCUGUAGCGUCGUGCCUAUACUCGACCGUCAACGGCAAAUAUGACUGGCGGGCAACUGUCGGUCGUUACGCCUUGACGAGUAGGAGGGCCGCGGCGACGUGCGUAGAAGGGUCUGGGCGUGAGCCUGCCUGGAGCCGUCGUCGGUGCAGAUCUUGGUGGUAGUAGCAAAUACUCCAGCGAGGCCCUGGAGGACUGAUGUGGAGAAGGGUUUCUUGUGAACAGCUGUUGCACAAGAGUCAGUCGGUCCUAAGCCCUAGGAGAAAUCCGAAGCGAUGGGUUGCCGUGAAUAAAACCACCAUUGUGUAAAAAAGCUGGCACCCGUUUGGGCGAAAGGGAAUCCGGUUCCUAUUCCGGAACCUGGCAGUGGAACCGUUCCAAUUCGGGCCCUCUGAGGACUCGUCAGGGCAACCUGAAUAGUCCCGGAGACGCCGACAGGAGAUUGGGGGAGAGUUGUCUCUUCUCUAUAAGCGAUCGAGUUCCCUGGAAACUUCUAGCAAGGAGAUAGGGUUUGGAUCGCGAAGAGCACUGCAGUUACGGCAGUGUCCCAAUCUUCCUCUCGGACCUUGAAAAUCCGGGUGAGGGCCACGAGGAACCCCACGCCAGACCGUACCCAUAUCCGCAGCAG
rnacentral:rRNA from 1 species